AGUGAACAGUUGAAUGUACCCUAUGACGAAAAAUGCAGCCGAACAGUUGAGAAAACAGAGUGGAAUAUUUGAGUGCAGCUGUAGUCAACGACAGAGCAUAAUGGCGGUUGAUCGGAAUAGAUUCAGCUAAAUAAUAUUGCUAUAACAGUGUGAUCGCGCGAUCGUUAUAGUCUAUCUAGACAUAGGUCCGAAGCGAUUCUGACGUGCAAAUCGAUGGUCUGACUUUGGUAUAGGGGCGAAAGACUAAUCGAACAGUCUAGUAGCUGGUUCCCUCUGAAGUUUCCCUCAGGAUAGCUGGAGCACUUAUUGAAGCUGUUACAUUCGUAAAGCGGAUGAUUAGAGGAAUUGUGGGACGAAACGUCUUCCACCCAUUCUCAAACUCUCAACGAGUGUGACGUCUCGCUUGCUUGAAUGUCACGUAGACACUGAAUACGUGCUCCACGUGGGCCACUUUUGGUGAGCAGAACCGACGCUAGAUGAACCAUAUGUUGAGUAAUGCAUCUUUUAUACAGCUGAUAAAUCGUUCCAUUUACUGUAAUUUUCAAAAUGAAUGGAAAUAUGUCCAGAA
rnacentral:ncRNA from 1 species